rnacentral:lncRNA from 1 species
AGGGUGUGACUUUUCACAUCAUCUUUUCACUUUUAGAAACACACGGAUAAGAAAAAAUGAAGGAAGAAUCGGUGAUGAUGAUGGAGGUGCAGCAGCCACCGUGAUGUUGUGAGCCGCUGUAACAUUUUCUUUACUUAGAUUUAUUUGAAUUUGCUUUGAAUAGAAUGGGAAAUGAACUUCAGCGCAUAUGUAGUAGUUUUAUUUUCUUUUAAAAUUGUUGAAUGAAAAUGUGCAACAGCAGUCACAUAGAAUUUCAUUUUUGCUUUGAAUGUUAUUUAGGAAAGAGCUUUCGAACAAUAUACUAUUGCAUUGGGAUAAAGAGAGAGAAGCACGCUGUUUUCAUCAAAUUUUUUUGGGCUUUGGAUCUUUAUAUUUUUUAUUCCAGCAACACUUUAUGGGAUUUAUAACUUUCAAUUAGGAAGCACACACCACCCCUUUUGGAUUUAUUUUGUUUUGCAUUUUUGCAUUUAAAUUAAUUUAGCUUCAGCUUGCAUGAAACUCAUUUUAAUAUUAUUAAAUUUAGAAUUAUAUUUAGCAAUCUAGUUCGUGUUAUUUUACUUAAGUUAUUUUUUUGUGAUGAAUUGCCUUUUCAUUUCUUCAGCUUAUUUGUUGCAUUUUCAUUUUAUUUCACUGUUCACGCAUAUUGGUAUUAAAUGAUUUAUUCUAGUGUUUCCGUUCCGUUUACUUUUAUGUUGUUUGUUCUGUUCGAUUGUGUUAAUUUAGUUAUGAUGUUAGCUUAGGUUAGUUGGUUGGUCGUUAACAAAAUUUCUUUGUUUCCUUGAGAUUCCCGG